rnacentral:lncRNA from 1 species
AUGUAGUAUACCAAGUUAACUAGUUGUCGAGAAACUAAUGUACUUAGGGUCGUCUGGUUCACAUACAAUUUACUCCAGUAUUGCUAGAACACAUCUUCUUACUCCACAUUCUAUCCUAUAUUCCUAUGUAAAAUAAUUCAAAGAUUCCUGCAUCACUUUUCUUUAUCAGUAAGAUUCCUGCAUGUCUUAAUGCAGGUUUUAUUUACAUUUCCAACCAAAUGUUGCAUUAGUUAUGCAGGAAUUAGACUAUUUCACCAACCAUACGCUAUAUAGUUGCAUUGGAUUAUUUUUCUAAUCUCUCCAACCAAACACUGCAUUAUUUUAAGCAAGAUUUAUGUUGAGAUUAUUCAUCCUAAUCCCUCCAACAAAAGGAUCCCUGAAGUUAUUGAAAUAGAUGUUCUAGAAGACAAAACAAAUGUUGAAACCAACGAAGCCAGGAAAGGAAAGUAAGAAUAUAUGGAAUACCAUCAUUAUUAUAUGCAAUUGCCAUAAUGGAGAGAGAUGAUUGGAGUUGUUUCUAGGGAAUUAGACUUUUCAUACAGCCAACCAAAUGCUACCUAGUUACAUUGGAUUAUUUUUCUAACCUCUCAACCGAACACUGUAUUAUUUUAAGCAAGAUUUUAUGCUGACAAGAGGGGUUGCUCUGAUGGUAAGCAAUCCCCACUUCCAACCGAGAGGUUGUGAGUUUGAUAACACAUCAAAAUUUCGACGGAUGCUUGUCAGAAGGCCACAUAAUACUCAUAAUUCAAAAAUUUAACUACACAGACAAGAGGGGUUGCUCUAAUGGUAAGCAAUCCUUAUUUCCUACCGAGAGGUUGUGAGUUUGAGUCUCACCAAGAGCAAGGUGGGAAGUUCUUGGAGGGAAGGAUGCCGGGGAUCUAUU